rnacentral:rRNA from 1 species
UACUACGGCCAUGCCACCCUGAACGUGCCCGAUCUCAUCUGAUCUGGAAGCUAAGCAGAGUCGGGCCUGGUUAGUCCUUGGAUGGGAGACCACCGUGGAAUACCAGGUGUUGUAGGCA